UUUUUUCGAAACUACACCAACUGGGGAUGCAGUGGUGCUAUGCAUAAUGUUCGAGCAGGUUAAGAAUCACAUGUUUAUGGACAUGACAUCCACACUUACAAGUUCUACAGUUGUUGCAAAUGUGCUACUUAAUGUCUACCAUGUCGUUGGAGGAAUAAUGACCAUGUCGUUGGAGGAAUAAUGCUUGUCAAGGUUGUAGAGAUAGGAGCUCGUUCAGACGAAGGUCGGCAAGUCGAAUGUCAUAUUUUAUGCACGUGCAUGAGAUGCAGCGCACACUGACAAAGCGUGGAAUUUUAUAUUUUUCCUUGCUGUGUAAAAUUUUUUCCCAGUUCAAACAUUUGAUGUGACAUUUAUUCAAACUGGAUGUGUACGCAUAUUCGAAAUUUAUGUACACUAUUAUUUGUUUUGCAAUGAAGCCACUUGGC